ACAGGGUGAUGACCUAUGAAUUGACAGCCAGUGUUUGCAGUCCAGCUGCCUGUCAGUUCUGUAGGCCACUGCCCUGU
rfam:Danio rerio chromosome 10, GRCz11 reference primary assembly.